rnacentral:rRNA from 1 species
AUACGGAGGGUGCGAGCGUUACUCGGAGUCACUGGGCGUAAAGCGUCCGUAGGCGGUCGGGUAAGUCGGGUGUGAAAGCCCCGGGCGCAACCUGGGAAGUGCACCCGAUACUGCUCGACUCGAGUGCGGGAGAGGAUGGCGGAAUUCCCGGUGUAGCGGUGAAAUGCGUAGAGAUCGGGAGGAACACCAGUGGCGAAGGCGGCCAUCUGGCCCGCAACUGACGCUGAGGGACGAAAGCGUGGGGAGCAAACAGGAUUAGAUACCCUAGUAGUCC